rnacentral:rRNA from 1 species
AAGACCUUGCGCUUUUGGAGCGGCCGAUGCCUGAUUAGCUUGUUGGUAAGGUAAAGGCUUACCAAGGCUUCGAUCAGUAGCUGGUCUGAGAGGACGACCAGCCACACUGGGACUGAGACACGGCCCAGACUCCUACGGGAGGCAGCAGUGGGGAAUUUUGGACAAUGGGGGAAACCCUGAUCCAGCCAUGCCGCGUGAGUGAAGAAGGCCUUCGGGUUGUAAAGCUCUUUCAGCCGGAACGAAACGGUUACGGAUAAUACCCGUGACUACUGACGGUACCGGAAGAAGAAGCACCGGCUAACUACGUGCCAGCAGCCGCGGUAAUACGUAGGGUGCGAGCGUUAAUCGGAAUUACUGGGCGUAAAGCGUGCGCAGGUGGUUUUGUAAGUCAGAUGUGAAAGCCCCGGGCUCAACCUGGGAACU